GACGAACGCUGGCGGCGUGCCUAAUACAUGCAAGUCGAGCGCAGGACAUCGACGGAACCCUUCGGGGGGAAGUCGACGGAAUGAGCGGCGGACGGGUGAGUAACACGUAAAGAACCUGCCCUCAGGUCUGGGAUAACCACGAGAAAUCGGGGCUAAUACCGGAUGGGUCAUCGGACCGCAUGGUCCGAGGAUGAAAGGCGCUCCGGCGUCGCCUGGGGAUGGCUUUGCGGUGCAUUAGCUAGUUGGUGGGGUAAUGGCCCACCAAGGCGACGAUGCAUAGCCGACCUGAGAGGGGGAUCGGCCACACUGGGACUGAGACACGGCCCAGACUCCUACGGGAGGAAGCAGUAGGGAAUCUUCCACAAUGGACGAAAGUCUGAUGGAGCAACGCCGCGUGAACGAUGAAGGCCUUCGGGUCGUAAAGUUCUGUUGUAAGGGAAGAACAAGUGCCGCAGGCAAUGGCGGCACCUUGACGGUACCUUGCGAGAAAGCCACGGCUAACUACGUGCCAGCCGCCGCCGUAACAC
rnacentral:rRNA from 1 species